AUACGUAGGGGGCGAGCGUUGUCCGGAAUGAUUGGGCGUAAAGGGCGCGUAGGCGGCCCGGUAAGUCUGGAGUGAAAGUUCUGUUUUUAAGAUGGGAAUUGCUUUGGAUACUGUCGGGCUUGAGUGCAGGAGAGGUAAGUGGAAUUCCCAGUGUAGCGGUGAAAUGCGUAGAGAUUGGGAGGAACACCAGUGGCGAAGGCGUUUUGAUGGACGGUAACUGACGCUGAGGCGCGAAAGCGUGGGGAGCAAACAGGAUUAGAUUCCCUGGUAGUCCACGCGGUAAACGAUGAAUACUAGGUGUGGGGGGACUGACCCCCUCCGUGCCGCAGUUAACACAAUAAGUAUUCCACCUGGGGAGUACGAUCGCAAGAUUGAAACGCAAAUGAAUUGACGGGG
rnacentral:rRNA from 1 species